ensembl:lncRNA
UUCACGGCUCACUCGGCUCUGUGACUGCGCUGUGCCCAAAGAGCCACCAGGGGGCACUCUUCGCUGUUGAAUGCCGCCAGAUGGAACAGCUUUCCCGGGGCAACGGCUCUUAUCGAGGGGUAGCAGGCAGCCAAUGGCCCUCAGUAGAUAGCCGGCUGGUUGUCGAGCCGUGCCCAAUCGGGGCGCCCGCGGGUCACAUUUAGGGGCCCGUCUGGAGUCCUUUCAUGCUAAAUUGGAUGAAGGCAGAAGCACUGGAGCUGAGCGGAGUGGAGAUGUCACAGCGCUCUCCGGCCUGUGUGCGGAGGCCAGACGCUUCAGCUCCAAGAGGAGAGAAAGAUGAAUGAGUCCGGGUGCCGUGGAAUCCAGUGGCGGUGGAGGUUCCUACCCGGGAUUCUUACAUUUCAUGAUUCUCUCAGAUAUUUUAUAUUCUGUCCUUUUUAGCUUCCAUAACCGCAAUCCCACCUCCAAAAAGCAUUCAGCGCUGUAAAAAAAAACCCCACUAUUUUGAGCUACAACAAUACUUUGGGAUAUCAUACACUCACAAAAAGAAAGCAUGCUACAAACCAGCAAUAAGGACGGAUAAAUCCAUUUUUUUUUUUUUUAGAUAAGCUGUGUUACGUGUGGAAGAGGAACCUUUUUUCCCUCGACUCUGCUGCUGCGAUAGUGAGGAGCACCUGCACAUAGAUGAGAGGAGGGCGCCUCCCUGUAAGCAGGCAACAAAGCCAAUCUCCCACAGGACUCUUUCUGCGACGUCCCGCCUCUCUUUGGAGGUGUUGUACAGUCGCACAUCCGUCAGCAGAGGCCGUCCCAGUGUGUCUCGCAGCUCUGCACUGGUCCCAUGAAUAAAUCUGUGCCUUCCUGCGCCCUGAUGCCUCUGAGAAGCGACUUGCACGUCGUCUCACGCGGUAAUGACUCUCUUGUCAUUCAUUGUGCACACAGAAGAUCCCUCAGAGCGGUAAAACAUCUGCUCGGCGUCUGGAGUUUCCGCGGAGGAAAAAUCAGGGACAAGUAUGUUCUGCAUGCAUCCCAGUCAAUCUCCUCACAUUAUUCUCGGCACGUAGGCGGAGGCACCUCCCAUGUCUCACAUAGAGGAGGCUAUCUUAGGUUAGCAUGAAGAAAUGGUUAAACACAUUAAUCUGUCUCAAUCAUAAAAUAGUCCCAGCUCAGUUGUAAACCACUAAUUGAUGAUUAAAUAUUUGUUUUUUGUAAAAAAAAAAAAAAAAAGGUUCUGCACUGCACUAUUUCUAGAUUGAGCCAGAUGAUAUAAUAAUAUUAAACAUGUAUAUAUUUUUGAGGGCUGUGAAAAUGAACGCGUUGGUCUAAUGUGGGAAAGCUUUUGGCAUUGGAAUUAAAACCAACCGAAGCACGACGUACAGCGUGUCAAACCGAAGGGGGGUUGAGGGACAAACAGGCCACUUAAAGCACCGCUAGGCUAAACUAGCUGCUAAGCUACUUCCAUCUCAACAGCCACCCUGCAGAGGACCACCACUGUGUCCCUAAAAGGCCGUGGUUUGAAGAUGUCCUGGCUAAAUGUGGGGAGAUUUACACAGCCGUUAAAAUGAUGAAGAGUUGAGAGCAAAGUGCACGAGGACAACAGGAAGAGUCGCUAGUUCAACAUGUUCCACCUCCAAGAUGGUCACAUGUGAGUAGUUUUGUGUUUGAAAUACAAUUAGACAACAGGGUCUAAAAUACACGCUUUCCAAAGUGAUUACACAUUAGUUGUAAGAUUUAGUCUUUAGAAAAAAUAAUCGAUUAAUCGCAAUUGAUGAAUGGGAAAAUCUGCGAUUAAUUUUUAUUUUGUUUAACGACAGCUCUAAUAUUUUUUCAAUAAUAAACAUCUUUCUAAAUGUCUAAACGGUAAUGAGGCACACACAUGUUGUAUCCGUACAGUCACUGACAACUCAAAAACAAAAGCUUUACAUUCAGUCUGAAAAUGAAAUGCUAGAAACGUGCGUUCAUUUGUAAUUUAAAAUGUGUAGGAAGCGUGUAACACAACGAAUGACUCAUUCCCUGUGUUCUGCUCCUUUUCAUCCACCCUGAAGGAUCUUAUUUGAGCGCUACCCAAACUAUAAAUACAGCUGAGCCACGCUUUGAGAGCUUUUGAAUUCAAAUGGUUCUUUUAGGGGAAAAACCAGCCGUGGAUUGACUUACAAGCUGACUUCCAAUGAGCUGGUUUGCAUGCAGCGGGAGGAGGCUGGUGCUCCCUUUUCAAUGACCCGCAAUGGCUGAGUGUGUUAGCUUGUGAUUUAAAGGUCUCAACCUACCGAGAGGCGUUAUUUAAAAAUGCAGAGCAUGGUUUUGUGCGUUUUAUGACUUUCAGGAGGGAUGUGGAUAACAGGCAUUUAUGGCACUGAAGUUUAGAGAAAGCCGUUUUUUCUUCCAAAAUAGUUCAAGGUUUAAUCCUCUCAUCUGACUCUCGUCAAGAAUACGAACGUGUAUUCCCUAAAUUGCUGAAUUUGAGGAACGCAGUAGAGUCCACAAGAGUCAAUUUGAAAUAAAAAAAGCCCUGCUUGCCCAACACUGUUAAACAGUAGGAAUUAGUAUCAAAUUAGCCUCGCAGAGCCCUGGACAGCUUGGUUCUCAGCAAACUGAUUUAAUAAUAUAAAACUGCUAAAUCAGAAAUCAAUAAUGAGAAAGCAGCUGUAAUUAAAGAGAUUCACAGAUGAUGGUCCAACGGGGAGAUGUGGGCAGUCAAUAAAAGAUGGUUGCCGAUAUUUGCUUUGUCUCAACACAAAUGGGGGAUUAUAACGUUUAACUGUGCCAGCAGUGGUCGCUAUGGAAACACGAUGUUCAAUUGAAACAAAAAAGCCACUUAAUCUUGUUAUAUUCUAUUGCACCUUCCAGAAAUUGGCUGUUCGUAUUAAGAAUGGUUCUCCCUCCUUCGCAGGGUGCUACAUUCCUCGCUGGCUGUUGGUCAAACUGCACAGAGCUCGACAGCGAAUUAUCAGAGGCACAUUUUUAAAAAAGUCAAAGUCACACCUCCCUUUGAACCGCUAAUUGGCUGUUAGGUCGUUUAUGAUGAUAUUAAAUGAAGCGUGGUUGCUGUUGUGUUACUUAAAAUCAGUUUUUGUUCAGUGCUUCGUAGCAAAGGGUAACAAACAUACAAAGACGGAGCGAAAAAGGAACACAGAAUAUAGACGACGAUGGCGGUCCAGUUCAAUAGUUUUGCUUUCACCGGGAGCUCGGAUCUAAAAUGCAUCCCCGGAUGGACACCGGCACACAGGUCCGAACAUCAAAGGGCUCUUUCAUGUCGCUGGGAGGGACAUUACUGAGGCCUGGCUGUCGCUGCUUCUCAAUGCCACCGGCAGUAUUAAUGUUAUUAAGUAUUAAGGCUCUGUGGACACAAAAAAGCCAUUUCAGCCAGGAUUAACUAGAGGCUUGAUAAAGGAGCGGCCCUUUGAGGCAGGAAGGAGUGGCGCUGGGGACAAAUGGAUGUACCAGCUAAUGAGUCAAAUUAUGAAUUACACUGCAAACAAAAUAAUUGGUCUGAUGACUUUCAUGGAGGAUCCCACGCAGUACUUUUGUUACGUAUAACUCUGUAUGCCGUGAACAUCUUUGGGUCAAAUUCAAGUGGAGCUUGAUUCCUGUGGAGCUGAUUUAGUCAUUUAAAAGGCUUCGCAUAAUCAAUACUCAACAGGUAAUCGUGCGAGAGUUAAACUGCCUCCAAACCACUUUCUCAAUAUGGACCAAUUUUAUCCUGGUACGGAUCCUCAAUGAUUCCUCAUCAACAGCGAGCGGUGACAGAGCAACUCUGAAUUAGUUACGCUCAUAAAAGCCACACGAUACACACUAAUUAAUAAAGUGUCGACACGUUGCGUUGGAGCUGGCGUGUUAGGCACAGAAUAUACCGAUAAAGCAGCACGUACGCUCUGCGGAAUUUCUCACAUUGUCCCGUGCCAGUUUUAAAAGUCUGCUGUUGAGACACAUUUCCUCAUAACCCCGUUCCAUUGGACGUCUGGACGGAAAACUUAAAGCGCCGCUCAACGUCUCUCUGCGCAAUUCGACUGGCACUCUCCAUCCUGUGCCGCAGCCUCUGUUGUGCGCUGUGUUGUGUGCUUGUUGCGCCACAGCGGGGGAGGCAGGCAGGAUAAACAAAGUGGUGUAGAAAAGCUGUGGACGGCCUGGAGGCAGCAGCAGAGGAGAGGCUGAGGACUCAAGUGAACUCCACCCCGAGCAACAUCUCGCACCCCCUCUGUGGUGGGCCGAGAGAGCCAAAGACCAUCGCCUCACCAGGAGCAACGCUGGGCGCAGGAACUGCUCUCGUUGUGUAAUAACAGCGCACUUGUUGUUCCAAAAGGCGGCAUGACUUAUGAGCAAGCAGCUGUAUCUAAAUAAAACAAUUUGGGAUAUAAGCUAAUUUAUUUUCUUGCAGAGAUUAUGCUGAGAAUGAAUAUUAAGCUACAGGCGGCUGGUUAGUCUGCACACAGGGGGAAACAGAAAGCUGGUAUUAAAAUAUGCCUUGCAGCACCUCUACAGUUCUCUUAACAACAUGCUUCGUUAAUACCGACAAAAACUGUAAAAACCGGAAUGCGUGAGGUGCUACAUCGACUCCAGUGGAUACGAGUAAAUACCAGUGAGUAUACGAAUGCCCUGCUUAAAGCCGGGGAAUCAAACCGUAUAUCAGAAAAUGUAUCAGUAUGCAUUAUGGUUUAUUUUGGAAUAAAGUAUGUUGUACACUCGCCAUGAGCCCAAUUAGCUGCACUUUGCAGCCCGUUAGCAUCUGGCCGCCGAUAAGCUAGCCCACAUGCUGCCAGCGUCGCGUAAACUACCCUAAGUUGGUUCACGAGAUGCUCGCAGCGAUCAUGACACCUGGGGAUGUGCAGCCCCCCCCCUCACCGUUGGCUGCUGAGCUUCCUCUAAUGUGAACUUUGAACCUCGGAGGUUUUGUUUGUCGUCUUCUUCUGCUGUCGGCCCCGAUCGGACCACUGGCUCCUCUCCUCUGGUGUCGGAGCACAAAUCAAUGCUUCACUUCAAAGCCGGGCGGCCGUUGUGUGUUUGCGAAUCAUCUUCAGUUUGUCUUGUGGCUGAUGUUUGCUUGCUGUUAUGAAAGCGCUGGUUGUGCUGUUUUUGUGUCAAUAUGUCAGCGUCUUCCAGCUGUUCACGUCUGUUUGGACGCUGCUGCCUUCGCCAUUUGUGCAUGUUUGCAUUGAUAUUAAUUAAUUAGGGAUUUGCCUACUUUGCGGCGGCUAAGCUGCGUGUUGGUUUUUUGGCAGGUGCCUUACGAUGCUAUCGUGCUAUUGUUUACAUGGUUGGAAUUAAUAGGUUACUCCAGUUUGAUUGACAUAUUUCCCUGGACGUUACC